CCCUAAAGCCAACCGCACCCACGAUCCUUCUGCGCCACCACUCGUCUGUUCUCCCGCCGCCGCCACAACUGCCCCACUCUGCGUCCGCCUCCGCUCCUCCCCUCCAGAACUAGCCUCCCCCUUGCGCUCCUCGCCCCAGCCGCCUCCUUCCGUCCUCGUGUCUGAACACCAAACCAUUGUCCUGGCUCAGCCUCCUCUCCGCCCCACUACUAGCCAUCGAGACUGAGCUGCGUACAUGCUGCCGAUGAAAGCCUGCUACGAGGGGAUCCAGGGCCGGUGGCUCAUCCGGUCGUUGCCGGCCUCGCGUCCCUCAGAUCUGGCAGCCCCGGGCCUCCCCAGAUCUGAUUGGAUUUUUCUGGAUCUCUCAUCAUCUCCUUCCUCCUCCCCACGCGAGUGAUUGGAUCGUUCUGCUCAUGGUUUUUGUUGAAAUCGUGCAGGGGUAUGUGGCGUGGGAGUUUGUGAAUCAGGGAGUGCAGCCAGGGGAGCUCACCAUCAUCCCCUUCCUCCUCAUCUCUCUGCUGUAGUGAAUUCCAGAUUUAUUUUGCGGUGUUCCCCUUUGUAAUUCUAGGUCCUCAUGCUGGCUGAGCGCAUAAACAAGAUGCACAUCCCCAUCCAUCUGAUGUCCUCAAAGUCAGGUAUGCACAGGCCCCUCUUUAUCUACUCUGUACAGAAGAUGGAACAAACUGCAGCUUGUUUCGUAUGCAUGAGCUCCAUCUUAAGCAUGUUCAUAUACCUAUUAUAGCAUGCGUUCGUGAUAUCUAUCUGUAGAGUCACGAGGAAUUAACCUCCUGAUUUCUACUGUUUUGGUAACAUCAUUAAGUUCAAAUACCUAGAGGCUGCUUAUUGUACAUAGUGUGUAGCAUGGUCUAAAGAGAACUGCAAAUCUGUAGAGUCAUGAGGAAUUGACUUCCUGAUUUCACAGUGUUUUGGUUACAUUAAGUUCAAAUAUCUAGUUGUUGCUUAUCAUACAUAGUGUAUAGCAUGUUCGGAAGAGUACUGCAACUCCAAAGUAGAUCAUUUAAACAUAUGUUGUGCCUUUUUUUCUUGGUAAAUAUGUACUACUACAUUUUUAGCUAUUUGCAAGACAAUUGUUUGAGUGAGACAUGAACCUGCAGUUGCUACUAAGCUAACAUACUACAGAUUUAGACCUCGUGUAGUUUGUGGUUCACGAAUGAUAGCACUAGUAUUCAUUGAGUACAUGAGUUGCAUUAUUAUUUUUCCUUAGUUAGCAUAGAUUUCUUGACCACGUCUAUGCAUGCAUCACUCGAUCCUAGACACAGUAGUGCCAGGUUGUAGUAGCAUUUUCCUGUCUGUCCAACUAGGGAACUACUUGACUGGUAUUGUCAUUCUGAAUUAUUGUGGGAGGGCGCUGCACGCCGGCCACCAGGGCAUGAUUGGGGUGAGUUUAUAAGAUUUCGCCGGAUUGGCUGCACAUUGGAGAAGACUAUGGGUAUUCGUUUCAAAAUCUCACCAGGUACUAGCUAAAUGUAAGGUUGCUGUCAAGAGGAAUUUGUUGAGAGGAUCAUGGCUGCAUGCAAGCAAGCUGAUAUUUUGUUGUUAGAUGCUUAGAUGCUUGAAAUACUAGUAUGAUGUCAAGCGUUCAUAAGUUUUGGGGACCUGAUGUAGUCUCAGGCUGUAACUUUAUGUGUUUGUAAAUUUUUUUUGUGAAUAUCUGUCGGUUAUAUGUUGCAUAUUUGACUUCA